rnacentral:rRNA from 1 species
AUGGCUCAGGAUGAACGCUAGCUACAGGCUUAACACAUGCAAGUCGAGGGGCAGCAUUGGAGUAGCAAUACUUCAGAUGGCGACCGGCGCACGGGUGAGUAACACGUAUCCAACCUGCCGCUUACUCGGGGAUAGCCUUUCGAAAGAAAGAUUAAUACCCGAUGGUAUAAAGAGUUCGCAUGUUCUCUUUAUUAAAGAAUUUCGGUAAGCGAUGGGGAUGCGUUCCAUUAGAUAGUUGGCGGGGUAACGGCCCACCAAGUCUACGAUGGAUAGGGGUUCUGAGAGGAAGGUCCCCCACAUUGGAACUGAGACACGGUCCAAACUCCUACGGGAGGCAGCAGUGAGGAAUAUUGGUCAAUGGACGAGAGUCUGAACCAGCCAAAAGUAGCGUGAAGGAUGACUGCCCUAUGGGUUGUAAACUUCUUUUAUAAGGGAAUAAAGUGAGGGACGUGUCCCUUUUUGUAUGUACCUUAUGAAUAAGGAUCGGCUAACUCCGUGCCAGCCGCCGC